AACGCACAUUGCACUCUAUUUCGGUAGAGUAUGCCUGUUUGAGAAUCUAAAGUAUUUAUUUUCGGUGUUUUUGUACUAGUACAAUCACGCCGAGAGAUAUGAGCUUUCCGGCCUUUGGGUAGGUAGCUUGAAAUCAAUAGCCGGUUUAGCCUUGUUAAUGCCUGAAGCCUUACAAAGUCGACUGAAACGUAUUUGAAUGGAACCUCGGUUCUUUAAUAAUGCUUACUAUGCGGCAGUGAGGCCUAGUUAUCAGGGGUAGGUCAGUCCAAAAAUUUAAAGGUAACCUUUCGGGGUUAGCUUGAACCAUGGUCUCAAAUCAGGUAGGAAUACCCGCUGAACUUAA
rnacentral:misc_RNA from 1 species